UUGGGACCGGGAGAGGUCAGAGGUACUCCAGGGGUAGGGGCUAAAUCCUGUAAUUCCUUGGGGGACCACCAGUGGCGAAGGCGUCUGACUAGAACGGAUCCGACGGUAAGGGACGAAACCCUGGGGCGCGAACCGGAUUAGAUACCCGGGUAGUCCAGGGCGUAAACGCUGCAGGCUUGGUGUUGGGGACCCUACGAGGGUGCCCAGUGCCGGAGUGAAGAUGUUAAGCCUGCCGCUUGGGGAGUACGUCCGCAAGGAUGAAACUUAAAGGAAUUGGCGGGAGAGCACAGCAACGGGAGGAGCGUGCGGUUCAAUUGGAUUCAACGCCGGAAAACUCACCGGGAGCGACGAUUACAUGAAGGUCAAGCCGAUGACUUUACCUGAUUUUUCGAGAGGUGGUGCAUGGCCGUCGUCAGUUCGUACCGUAAGGCGUUCUGUUAAGUCAGAUAACGAACGAGACCCUCGCCCUUAAUUGCUAGUUCAUUCUCCGGAAUGAGCGCACAUUAAGGGGACCGCUGGCGCUAAGUCAGAGGAAGGAGAGGUCAACGGUAGGUCAGUAUGCCCCGAAUCUCCCGGGCUACACGCGCGCUACAAAGGAUAGGACAAUGGGCUGCGACACCGAGAGGUGAAGCUAAUCCCGAAACCUAUUCGUAGCUCGGACUGAGGGCUGUAACUCGCCCUCACGAAGCUGGAUUCCGUAGUAAUNNCGGUCAACAUCCCGCGGGAAUA
rnacentral:rRNA from 1 species